rnacentral:rRNA from 1 species
GACGAACGCUGGCGGCGUGCUUAACACAUGCAAGUCGAACGGAAAGGCCCUUCGGGGUACUCGAGUGGCGAACGGGUGAGUAACACGUGGGUGAUCUGCCCUGCACUUUGGGAUAAGCCUGGGAAACUUGGUCUAAUACCGAAUAGGACCACGCGCUUCAUGGCGUGUGGUGGAAAGCUUUUGCGGUGUGGGAUGGGCCCGCGGCCUAUCAGCUUGUUGGUGGGGUAAUGGCCUACCAAGGCGACGACGGGUAGCCGGCCUGAGAGGGUGACCGGCCACACUGGGACUGAGAUACGGCCCAGACUCCUACGGGAGGCAGCAGUGGGGAAUAUUGCACAAUGGGCGCAAGCCUGAUGCAGCGACGCCGCGUGAGGGAUGACGGCCUUCGGGUUGUAAACCUCUUUCACCAGGGACGAAGCGUAAGUGACGGUACCUGGAGAAGAAGCACCGGCCAACUACGUG